GAAAAAAUUAGUGCUUUCUUGCGUGUUGUUGAUGAGUUUGAGACAAAAUGUGAAGGUUCAACACUAGAGUCAGCAUAUGAACAAACGAAGGCCAGAGCAAAUGUCGUCUUGGAUAAGGGUAAGAAGAUACUAAGCCCCAACGUGGUUCGAGGGAAAGGGAGACCCCCAAGUAAGAGGAAGGUUCCACCAGUUGAAAAGUUGGCAACAAAGAGAAAGAAACCGACUUCCAGGAAAAUCUUGGUAGAUGAAACACAAUUGGGUGAGACACCGGGAUCUGAACAACACCAAUUUGAUGAUGGGGUUGAUGUUGGAACACAAAACAGCAUUCUUACACAAUCAACUCCAGAGAUGUGUCACCAUCUCGAUGCACACUUGUAAUCCCAUGGUGAUGAGAAGCCACAUUUUUUGAAGCUCUUGGAGAGGGAGAAGCUGGAAGUUGGGAGUUCGGGGAGUAACUUGACUCUGGGGGCCGUAGC